CAAAAUGAUAGACAAUGUCACUUUGGAAAUUAAACUCGAAUCGCCAAAUGCAUGUAAAAAAUCAAUUUGCUAACAUUUCUGAGCCGUAUUAAUUUAACUUCUCCUGUGUUAUAAACACCUUCAUCAUUCGACUUUGUCGGCUCUUUAAUCUGUCUUUAUCCAGUUUAAGGUCGCAAUAAAAAAUACCAAAAAAUUGUAAACAAUGUAUUUCAUUCGUUUCACCAACGAAUCACCAAAUUACAUGUUUCAAUGAAAAGAAAGCUGCAAAACUACGCAACGUACGACCUAAAAUGAGUUUUUUCACUUGAUCUGUGUUGAAAUAUCAAUUUAUUUUUUUUAAUGUUUAGACUAUUAUAAUUUGAGUGGACACACUGGAAAACCCGUAAAAUUCUUUGACAAACAAAA